AUUGAACGCUGGCGGCAUGCCUUACACAUGCAAGUCGAACGGUAACAGGUCUUCGGAUGCUGACGAGUGGCGAACGGGUGAGUAAUACAUCGGAACGUGCCUAGUAGUGGGGGAUAACUACUCGAAAGAGUGGCUAAUACCGCAUGAGAUCUACGGAUGAAAGCAGGGGAUCGCAAGACCUUGUGCUACUAGAGCGGCCGAUGGCAGAUUAGGUAGUUGGUGGGAUAAAAGCUUACCAAGCCGACGAUCUGUAGCUGGUCUGAGAGGACGAUCAGCCACAGUGGGACUGAGACACGGCCCAGACUCCUACGGGAGGCAGCAGUGGGGAAUUUUGGACAAUGGGCGCAAGCCUGAUCCAGCAAUGCCGCAUGCAGGAUGAAGGCCUUCGGGUUGUAAACUGCUUUUGUACGGAACGAAAAGCCCUGGGUUAAUACCCUGGGGUCAUGACGGUACCGUAAGAAUAAGCACCGGCUAACUACGUGCCAGCCGCCGCCGUAACAC
rnacentral:rRNA from 1 species